GCCUGGGUAGCUCAGUCAGUUAAGCAUCUGAUUUCGGCUCAGGUCAUGAUCUCACAGUUUGUGGGUUCAAGUCCUGCAUCAGGCU
rnacentral:tRNA from 1 species